rnacentral:rRNA from 1 species
GACGAACGCUGGCGGCGUGCCUAAUACAUGCAAGUUGAGCGCUGAAGGUUGGUACUUGUACCAACUGGAUGAGCAGCGAACGGGUGAGUAACGCGUGGGGAAUCUGCCUUUGAGCGGGGGACAACAUUUGGAAACGAAUGCUGAUACCGCAUAAAAACUUUAAACACAAGUUUUAAGUUUGAAAGAUGCAAUUGCAUCACUCAAAGAUGAUCCCGCGUUGUAUUAGCUAGUUGGUGAGGUAAAGGCUCACCAAGGCGAUGAUACAUAGCCGACCUGAGAGGGUGAUCGGCCACAUUGGGACUGAGACACGGCCCAAACUCCUACGGGAGGCAGCAGUAGGGAAUCUUCGGCAAUGGACGAAAGUCUGACCGAGCAACGCCGCGGGAGUGAAGAAGGUUUUCGGAUCGUAAAACUCUGUUGGUAGAGAAGAACGUUGGUGAGAGUGGAAAGCUCAUCAAGUGACGGUAACUACCCAGAAAGGGACGGCUAACUACGUG